AUUGAACGCUGGCGGCAGGCCUAACACAUGCAAGUCGAGCGGAGCGGCGGACGGGUGAGUAAUGCCUAGGAAUCUGCCUGGUAGUGGGGGAUAACGUCCGGAAACGGGCGCUAAUACCGCAUACUAUCAGAUGAGCCUAGGUCGGAUUAGCUAGUUGGCGGGGUAAAGGCUUACCAAGGCGACGAUCCGUAACGGGUCUGAGAGGAUGAUCAGUCACACUGGAACGGAUACACGUUCCAGACUCCUAGGGUAGGGACCAGUGGGGAAGAUUGGACAAUGGGCGAAAGCCUGAUCCAUCCAUGCCGCGUGUGUGAAGAAGGUCUUCGGAUUGUAAAGCACUUUAAGUUGGGAGGCGUUACCAACAGAAUAAGCACCGGCUAACUUCGUGCCAGCAGCCGCGGUAAUAC
rnacentral:rRNA from 1 species